rnacentral:rRNA from 1 species
GUGCCAGCCGCCGCGGUAAAACGUAGGAGACAAGCGUUAUCCGGAGUUACUGGGCGUAAAGGGCGUGUAGGCGGUGAGCUAAGUCUGUUGUGAAAGCGCCCGGCUAAACCGGGCGAGGUCAAUGGAGACUGGCUGGCUAGAGGACGGUAGAGGCGAGUGGAAUUCCGGGUGUAGUGGUGAAAUGCGUAGAUAUCCGGAGGAACACCAGUGGCGAAGGCGACUCGCUGGGCCGUACCUGACGCUGAGACGCGACAGCAUGGGGAGCGAACGGGAUUAGAAACCCCAGUAGUCC